CCUGAUCGAGCGACGCCGCGUGCGGGAAGAAGUGCUUCGGCAUGUAAACCGCUUUUGCGUGGGAGUAAUUUUGAAAGUACCACGAGAAUAAG
rnacentral:rRNA from 1 species